UACGGGGGGUGCGAGCGUUGUCCGGAGUUACUGGGCGUAAAGCGCACGCAGGCGGUCUGUUAAGUUUGGAGUGACAGUUGGUGGCUUAACUGCCAAAGUGCUUCGAAAACUGACAGACUUGAGGGCUUCAGAGGGACACGGAAUUCCGGGUGGAGUGGUGAAAUGCGUAGAGAUCCGGAGGAACACCAAAGGCGAAGGCAGUGUCCUGGGGAGUACCUGACGCUCAGGUGCGAAAGCCAGGGGAGCGAACGGG
rnacentral:rRNA from 1 species